UACGUAGGGUGAAAGCGUUAAUCGGAAUUACUGGGCGUAAAGCGUGCGCAGGCGGUUUUGUAAGUCUGUCGUGAAAUCCCCGGGCUCAACCUGGGAAUGGCGAUGGAGACUGCAAGGCUAGAGUUUGGCAGAGGGGGGUAGAAUUCCACGUGUAGCAGUGAAAUGCGUAGAUAUGUGGAGGAACACCGAUGGCGAAGGCAGCCCCCUGGGUCAAAACUGACGCUCAUGCACGAAAGCGUGGGGAGCAAACAGG
rnacentral:rRNA from 1 species